rnacentral:rRNA from 1 species
UACGUAGGGGGCCAGCGUUGUCCGGAAUCAUUGGGCGUAAAGCGCGCGUAGGCGGCCAGAUCAGUCCGGCGUGAAAGUCAAAGGCUCAACCUUUGAAUGCCGCUGGAAACUGGCUGGCUUGAGUCCGGAAGGGGCGAGUGGAAUUCCUGGUGUAGCGGUGAAAUGCGCAGAUAUCAGGAGGAACACCAAUGGCGAAGGCAGCGCGCUGGAACGGUACUGACGCUGAGGCGCGAAAGCGAGGGGAGCAAACGGG